GGAGAUUUCAGAGAAAAAGGGACCAGGGAAUGAAAUUAUCUCUGAAUAUUAAGACACACGCUUGGUCAGCCGAUUCUUUGUCUUUUCAAGUAUCAGGUAGCGGCAGAAUUAGCCUGAUGUAAAAUUAAGCCCGAUCGAGCACGUUUCCCACCGUGUCUCAAUCCUUGUGAGAGGAAAGAUGGAUGUGUGAUACUUCUGGAGCCGAGCCAGAAAUGAGCAGAUGUGCUUCUUCAAAAUCAUGAGAAACUAGUGAUCUGGGCUAUGUCACUCACUCCCUCUCUCUCACACAUACUAUCGCAUCCCUGUGUAUUCUCCUCCAGAUUUAAUUAAUCACCUGAUUAUUUCAGCUGUUUUCAUUGGCUGGCGUACACAAGGGGCAAUAAUUGGCAAGAGUAUAUUUGGCCUAUAUGUUGUUGAUUUUGGCAACAACCAAAACGACACACCAGGAAAUACAGAUGGCGACCUCCCUCCUUUCUUUCCCUCCUUCGUUCGGUCUCUUCAUCUCUUCUUCUGUUGAUUUCUGGCUCUGUGCGGCACAUUAUGAGGCUACAGGCUAAUCCACUCUCCCCUCUCCUCUGUACUUUUGUCUCCCCCGUAUUCAACUAACUGGCAUGAUUUAGGAAUUAUGGAAUUAGGGCAGCGCUCCCAUCUCUAUUAAUGAGGAACAGCAUGAUGAAAGAGCUUGAUCCUGAACGUGCCAUCUGUAGUCACUAUUACACAUUCACUUAAUCUAUCUCCCUCUUUCUAUUUUCUAUUCUUUCCCUUUCCUUUCUUCCUUCCUCUCGCUCACACACUCCCUCCGUCAAACACACUCACAUUAUACCUCAGUUGUAAUUACAGAGGAAAUACUAAUUCUGGGCUCUUCAAGCACUGGUGGAUGUGGCGUGAAAUGGCGAAAUGGCACCACAGGAAAGUUAACUAUGGACCACACACUCCUGCAUAUAACACACACACACACACACACUCACACAGGAGCCCAGAUGGACCGUGUGUUAUUGCUGAAUAAUGCAUGCUAUGUAGACUCUAUAAAAGAUACAUGGGCCCAGAGAGCUGGGCACCAUGGGAAGUUUGGAGAGGGCAGCUCGGGAGAAUCCCUUGUGCAAAUUUGGAGUUGUCACAUAAUGUUCAGCUUGUAGAUAUUUAGCUUUAGGUGACCCAACAGGGAAAAUAUUUAGCCUCAGCCACAGAGAGAGAGAGAAACCCACUUGCCUUUUAGACAUAGUCAGUUGAUAUGUGAGUUGGCACUCAGCCCAGUGUCUUUGCAGUCACCUUCAGCAGGCCUUUGUGGUUUAAACCAUAAAAACUUGGGGGAAUUACACAGCAGAUUCAACGCCAGAGGUUCAGAUUUCAGAGCAUCUCUCAGAAUCACUAUGAAAAAAUAUCCCGCAGUCUGUCUUCGUGUAAAACAGACAGACUUAUGGGGGUGGGGGGUGAGGGGGGGAGGUCCGGGUGAAGGGUAAAUGCUGCACUCAUGUGGGGAAAACGAGCAGCGCCUCUUUUCUUAAGUCAUAUGACAGGACAUGCGCAGCGCCCUGUGAUGCGUUCAAAUGCUCAACCAAAGCUCCUCCCUCCUUAACAACUUUAAUUUAAAUAACAAGAGUAGGCAGGGCUGGAUAGUAACCAAUUACAUUUGAGUCGCUGUGCUGUGUGCCUGUACCUUUUUUUAAUAAGAUUUCAAAAUUAGGAUGUGUACUUUUCUUUCUUUCUUCUUUAUUUAUCUCAAAC
rnacentral:lncRNA from 1 species